CUUCUCACUGAACAUGACUUGCGUUACAUGAACCGACGUCACGCCGCACUGAGAGAAUCAUCCUCACUAUACGACACAGUUUUCAAAGGGAGACUUUUUUUUUUUUUUAGUUUUAGUGUCGUUGUAGUUUCUAAGCAACAGAAAUCCGGGUACGAAGAGUUCGAUGAAGCAGCAGACGGCUUCACGAGGAACGAGCGACUUCAUCUCAAGUUGAACAACAAGUAUCAUUGCAGCUACAGAUUCGACGGGCACAACUUGAGAGCAACUGGUCUCAGAGCUUCUGAAUACAUAAAUAUGGACUCCGCCCAAGUCUGAAAUGUUAACACGCUGAUCCGUCCGCAUCCACUGUUUUCAACGUGAGCAAGAUGGCCGCUGCUGGGAGAAGGCCCUCGCGGUCGGCGCGCCAUGUGACCACGGCAACCACAGAAAACCUCAGCAAAGGAACCGAUACAGGAGCCGGAUAUCACAAUGACUUGGCCUCGGAUUCCCUGUGCGGUUGCAAAUUCCCAACGAGGACACUGAAGUCAAUGCCCAUCCAAUUACUUCGUUCUAAAGUAUGUAAAAUCAUGCAACGGUGAGGAAAGGAAGGAUUAGGCUACGGCUCGACUAUAGCAUGAGGUUCUCUUUCCUUCCAAAGACUCUGAAUGUCAAAUCUUUUUUUUUCUUUUGUGUGUGUGUGUGUGUUGUUUAAUUAGAGAAUGCUUAUCAUAGACGCAUGGCGCGCUACUGAGAGGUGACAGCACCCCAGUGUUGUAAAAUUAAUUAUAUCACUAAUGUGGACCCUGUGCAUGUGAAAUAGCUGAACUCUCCCCAAAUAGCUCAUUAAUCUUCAGACAGCCACUCCUGGACUAGGUGAAGUGGUCUUGAAUUUCAAUACCCAUCCUUGCUGGUUGUAACCUUUCCCUCCUCUCGCUCGAGCAGCCGAUGGGGGAACAGGAGCAUUGGAGAGAGAAUAAUAUUGUCUGCAGCGGUAUCUCUAGCACUUCUCUCUGUGAGUCAUAUAAUUACACACACCUACGCAGUUUUCCUAAACACACACACACUCUCUCUCACACACACACACUUGCGCAAAACCAGGCUUAGAGUUUAAAGUGGAGUACGCCCGAGAAGUGCUGAUGUAUCCUAUGAUUAUUAAAAAAAGAAAAAAUACUGCCCGCCGCACUAGCAUAAACAAAUCACUUGAAAUGAAAUUUUUCAGGUAAUAAAAGUGCGUUCUUGAAAAAGACCAAACUGGACCCCACUGGUUCUUAUCCGUUUUUAGCCGUCGCAGCAAAAGUAUGCAGGAAAUUAAAGUUCUCGAUUUAAAGAUUUGUUUGAUACACUGCAAACCUUUCCACUUGUUAUUAAAGCCCUCCAGAGAUUUUUAUCGUAUCACAUGAUCAUUAGUGGAUGGAAUGGAGUUUUUAUCUGGAACCUUUUUCUUACUCCUGCAUUAGAGCAUCGCAAGCAGGAAUAGCAAGAGAGAGCAAUAAGAGGACUGUGAAGAUUAAAGCGUCAGCGAAAUUUUGGUUGCCAGGUGAAACUAAAGAAUGAUAGAUCCUAAAUUUCCCACAGUGCAACGUUUACAGUGUUUUUUAUCACUUUCCACGCUUGGUUAAUACCAACAUCCAUCAGUUCCCAAAACAUCAGCAGUUCCGGAUGAUGUAAAGAAAAACAAAUUAUGUCAGUCAGUUCGACCUUAAACAACCGCUUUAUUACUGGAUGAACUUUGUGUGUAAAAUCAAUGCGGUGCUGUUUUAUCAAAUGGCUAUUUUUUACCUCCCAAA